UCGAGGAUCAUUCGCAAUGGGCGGAAGCCUGACGAUGCGACGCUGCGUGGAGGAUGACGGCCCUCGGGUUGUAAACUCCUGUCACGGGGGGCGAGGCGGAGGCGGUGAACAGCCGCCCGAGUUGACGGUACCCCGAGAGGAAGCCACGGCUAACUCUGUGCCAGCAGCCGCGGUAAUACAGAGGUGGCGAGCGUUGUUCGGAUUUACUGGGCGUAAAGGGCGCGUAGGCGGCCGGUCGUGUCGGGUGUGAAAUCCAUGGGCCCAACCCAUGAAGUGCGCCCGAAACUGCCCGGCUGGAGUGCGGGAGGGGAGAUCGGAAUGCAUGGUGUAGCGGUGAAAUGCGUUGAUAUCAUGCAGAACACCGGUGGCGAAGGCGGAUCUCUGGAACGCUACUGACGCUGAGGCGCGAAAGCAGGGGGAGCAAACAGG
rnacentral:rRNA from 1 species